UUGGUUUUACCCGAAGCCGGUGCGCUAACCGCAAGGAGGCAGCCGACCACGGUAAGGUCAGCGACUGGGGUGAAGUCGUAACAAGGUAGCCCUAGGGGAACCUGGGGCUGGAUCACCUCCUUU
rnacentral:rRNA from 1 species